rnacentral:piRNA from 1 species
GCUAGGCUAUCAUAGAUCCUUGAAA